AUAUUUGCAGUGUGGAUUUGCAUCUCAGAAGCUCCUCCUCUCUCCCCCCCCUCGACAUUCCUUUUCUGGUCUGGGCAUGCAAAAGGGGACUGGAGUUUCCCCCUCUUGCAGGGGUGGCUCCAACUGCUGUCUUCAGCUUCCUAGCACCAUGCCCUGUGGAGGGCAUCACUGUGACUGUUGGAGUGAGGAGGUUGCGGUGGUGUGAUGUCCUGGCAAAGUUACAUGUAGGGGAGCACAACCAGUUCAGUCGCACCAGAUGCAAAGCUUCUGGGGGGCCACAGUAGGCACCUCAACUGACAUCCAACAGAAGGUGAGAGGCUGGGUGGGGGCAGAUUUUGGUGUUGCACGGGGCGCCACUGAAAUUUGAGACUGGUCCUGGAUCAUCACAACAGAGGGGAGGACCUGAACCAAAGGAUUCAAAUGACAAGAAAGGAGAUUGCAACCAAACAGUAGGAAGAACUUUCAGGAGGGGGCCAUACUUGAUGACCUUUGGAUUCCCUUCCAUCUCUGCACUUCUAUGAGUCUAACAUCACUGGCUGCCUCCAUUUCCAGGUGACAUGUCGGUAUCAUUGCCAGCUCUGUUCCUGACUGCUUGCUCUGGUGCACCAGUUCUCAAAGUGAGAAGAAUAAGACGGAUUUUACUGAGCCUGUUUAAGAGGAGUCCAGUUCAUCACCACCCCUGAAUUCUACGAGACUUCUUCUUGCAACUAAAACUUGACAAAUGUCAUGUCCCCUUCUUUAGGAAAUUUGAGGCUGGCAGCUUUCUCCCUUUUCAGAAUGUUCCAAAACAGUUGCAAAACUGUCAGGUGGAAAUUGCCACAACAGAAAUCAUAUCAAGCAACAUUUUGACAAAACCUCUUUUUUAUUUUGCUCUAAAUUUUCUCUGCUGAUAGGAUUUCAACCCAGCUCACGUGAAUCAAGGUUUACUCGGAGCAUCGUCCGGGAGCCUCAACACUCACUCUUGUUUUGUGUGUCGGCAUAAAGAUAGAUAUAAUUUUGAAAAUUGCAGCGGAAAAAGAAAGACACAGAAAAUUACCUCUUUCAACAACGUUAAGCCAUUCUGUUCCAUUAAUAUAUUUCUGAACCUGAAUAUUGCAAAGGGAAAAGUACAUUAUCUCAGAGGACGAAGCAACCUGGUAAUGUAUUCUGGCCAUAAUGCGGUCUCAUUCAGGAUGCAAAAUGCAGGGUGUUGGAAAAUGUAAAAAAACCACAGAGACUUGCUUAAUGUGGGGUUUGAAAAACAACUAAAUCAGAUGGAUGCAUUAUCCGUAAACUUCCCAACCUGCCACUGGCUUAUGUUAAUUUCUUUUUUCUUUCUUUUAUUUUGAGUAUGGGCUUGCAAUGUUUAUUCUUCCUGUAAUUGAAAGCCCUUUCGGUCACAAAUCAUAUCACAGCCAUUAGUCACUGCAUUUCCUCAUUGGAGGAAUAUGUAAGCAAUGAGAAUGGCGGGUGGAGGGACCCCAGUGAGCAAGAUCCUGCACCACAUUGUCUUGCCCAAUAUAUGCCCACUCAAAUGUUCCGAUCUGCAGAACACACACUGCUACAGAUGCCACAUAAUACCCUUUUUGCAUUUGUAAGGACUAGAUAUUUUAGUGUGCCAGCCUACACUUUGGAACUUCCUGCCUAUCGAUACGAGGCAAAGCACCCUCAAUGUACUCUUGUUCAGUGCCUGCUAAAAACAUUUUUGU